ACGCUCGACACCUACGAGAGGCAGCAGUAGGGAAUCUUCCACAAUGGGCGCAAGCCUGAUGGAGCAACACCGCGUGAGUGAAGAAGGGUUUCGGCUCGUAAAGCUCUGUUGUUGGAGAAGAACGUGCGUGAGAGUAACUGUUCACGCAGUGACGGUAUCCAACCAGAAAGUCACGGCUAACUACGUGCCGGCAGCCGCGGUAAUCUGAGCGGGCUGGCAAGGC
rnacentral:rRNA from 1 species